rnacentral:rRNA from 1 species
GCGCGAAAACUCUACAAUGCAGGCAACUGCGAUAGGGGAACAUCGAGUGAUACUCAUCUUGGGUGUCUGUCCUCCCGUCUAAAAAACGGGAGUUAGCAAGGGCCGGGCAAGACCGGUGCCAGCCGCCGCGGUAAUACCGGCGGCUCGAGUGGUAGCCGAUAUUAUUGAGUCUAAAGGGUCCGUAGCCGGCUUUGCAAGUCUUUUGGGAAAUCCAGCGGCUUAACCGUUGGUCGUCCGGGAGAUACUACAUUGCUUGGGACUGGGAGAGGUAAGAGGUACUCAGGGGGUAGGAGUGAAAUCCUGUAAUCCUUUGGGGACCACCGGUGGCGAAGGCGUCUUACCAGAACAGGUCCGACGGUGAGGGACGAAAGCUAGGGGCACGAACCGGAUUAGAUACCCGGGUAGUCCUAGCCGUAAACGAUGCUCGCUAGGUGUCACAACAAUCGUGAAUUGUUGUGGUGCCGUAGGGAAGCCGUGAAGCGAGCCACUUGGGAAGUACGACCGCAAGGUUGAAACUUAAAGGAAUUGGCGGGGAGCACCACAACGGGUGGAGCCUGCGGUUU